rnacentral:rRNA from 1 species
GACGAACGCUGGCGGCGUGCUUAACACAUGCAAGUCGAACGGAAAGGCCCUGCUUUUGUCGGGUGCUCGAGUUGCGAACGGGUGAGUAACACGUAAGUAACCUGCCCUUGACUUUGGGAUAACUUCAGGAAACUGGAGCUAAUACCGCAUGACAGCAGCUGCUGCAUGGUGGCUGUUGGAAAGUUUCGGCGGUUGGGGUAGGACUCGCGGCUUCUCAGCUUGUUGGUGGGGUAGUGGCGUACCAUGGCUUUGACGGGUAGCCGGCCUGAGAGGGUGACCGGCCCCAGUGGGACUGAGAAAGGGGCCGGAGGGCUACGGGGGGCAGCAGUGGGGAUCAUUGCGAGAUGGGCGGAAGCCGGAUGGAGGAACUCCGGGUGCGGGAUGACGGCUGUCGGGGUGGAAACCGCUUGCGCCUGGGACGAAGCGUGAGUGACGGUAACGGAUAAAGAAGCACCGGCUAACUACGUG